CACUAUCGUUAACUGAAUACAUAGGUUAACGAGGCGAACCGGGGGAACUGAAACAUCUAAGUACCCCGAGGAAAAGAAAUCAACCGAGAUUCCCCCAGUAGCGGCGAGCGAACGGGGAGCAGCCCAGAGUCUGAAUCAGCUUGUGUGUUAGUGGAACGGUCUGGAAAGUCCGACGGUACAGGGUGAUAGUCCCGUACACCAAAAUGCACAGGCUGUGAACUCGAAGAGUAGGGCGGGACACGUGGUAUCCUGUCUGAAUAUGGGGGGACCAUCCUCCAAGGCUAAAUACUCCUGACUGACCGAUAGUGAACCAGUACCGUGAGGGAAAGGCGAAAAGAACCCCGGCGAGGGGAGUGAAAAAGAACCUGAAACCGUGUACGUACAAGCAGUGGGAGCACCUUCGGGUGUGACUGCGUACCUUUUGUAUAAUGGGUCAGCGACUUAUAUUCUGUAGCAAGGUUAACCGUAUAGGGGAGCCGCAGGGAAACCGAGUCUUAACUGGGCGUUAAGUUGCAGGGUAUAGACCCGAAACCCGGUGAUCUAGCCAUGGGCAGGUUGAAGGUUGGGUAACACUAACUGGAGGACCGAACCGACUAAUGUUGAAAAAUUAGCGGAUGACUUGUGGCUGGGGGUGAAAGGCCAAUCAAACCGGGAGAUAGCUGGUUCUCCCCGAAAGCUAUUUAGGUAGCGCCUCGUGAAUUCAUCUUCGGGGGUAGAGCACUGUUUCGGCUAGGGGGUCAUCCCGACUUACCAACCCGAUGCAAACUACGAAUACCGAAGAAUGUUAUCACGGGAGACACACGGCGGGUGCUAACGUCCGUCGUGAAGAGGGAAACAACCCAGACCGCCAGCUAAGGUCCCAAAGUCAUGGUUAAGUGGGAAACGAUGUGGGAAGGCACAGACAGCCAGGAUGUUGGCUUAGAAGCAGCCAUCAUUUAAAGAAAGCGUAAUAGCUCACUGGUCGAGUCGGCCUGCGCGGAAGAUGUAACGGGGCUAAACCAUGCACCGAAGCUGCGGCAGCGACACUAUGUGUUGUUGGGUAGGGGAGCGUUCUGUAAGCCUGCGAAGGUGNUGCUGGAGGUAUCAGAAGUGCGAAUGCUGACAUAAGUAACGAUAAAGCGGGUGAAAAGCCCGCUCGCCGGAAGACCAAGGGUUCCUGUCCAACGUUAAUCGGGGCAGGGUGAGUCGACCCCUAAGGCGAGGCCGAAAGGCGUAGUCGAUGGGAAACAGGUUAAUAUUCCUGUACUUGGUGUUACUGCGAAGGGGGGACGGAGAAGGCUAUGUUAGCCGGGCGACGGUUGUCCCGGUUUAAGCAUGUAGGCUGAUUGUCCAGGCAAAUCCGGAUAAUCAAGGCUGAGGUGUGAUGACGAGGCACUACGGUGCUGAAGUAACAAAUGCCCUGCUUCCAGGAAAAGCCUCUAAGCAUCAGGUAACAUCAAAUCGUACCCCAAACCGACACAGGUGGUCAGGUAGAGAAUACCAAGGCGCUUGAGAGAACUCGGGUGAAGGAACUAGGCAAAAUGGUGCCGUAACUUCGGGAGAAGGCACGCUGGUGUGUAGGUGAAGUCCCUGCGGAUGGAGCUGAGACCAGUCGAAGAUACCAGCUGGCUGCAACUGUUUAUUAAAAACACAGCACUGUGCAAACACGAAAGUGGACGUAUACGGUGUGACGCCUGCCCGGUGCCGGAAGGUUAAUUGAUGGGGUUAUCCGUAAGGAGAAGCUCUUGAUCGAAGCCCCGGUAAACGGCGGCCGUAACUAUAACGGUCCUAAGGUAGCGAAAUUCCUUGUCGGGUAAGUUCCGACCUGCACGAAUGGCGUAAUGAUGGCCAGGCUGUCUCCACCCGAGACUCAGUGAAAUUGAACUCGCUGUGAAGAUGCAGUGUACCCGCGGCAAGACGGAAAGACCCCGUGAACCUUUACUAUAGCUUGACACUGAACAUUGAGCCUUGAUGUGUAGGAUAGGUGGGAGGCUUUGAAGCGUGGACGCCAGUCUGCGUGGAGCCAACCUUGAAAUACCACCCUUUAAUGUUUGAUGUUCUAACGUUGGCCCCUUACCGGGGUUGCGGACAGUGUCUGGUGGGUAGUUUGACUGGGGCGGUCUCCUCCCAAAGCGUAACGGAGGAGCACGAAGGUUAGCUAAUCCUGGUCGGACAUCAGGAGGUUAGUGCAAUGGCAUAAGCUAGCUUGACUGCGAGCGUGACGGCGCGAGCAGGUGCGAAAGCAGGUCAUAGUGAUCCGGUGGUUCUGAAUGGAAGGGCCAUCGCUCAACGGAUAAAAGGUACUCCGGGGAUAACAGGCUGAUACCGCCCAAGAGUUCAUAUCGACGGCGGUGUUUGGCACCUCGAUGUCGGCUCAUCACAUCCUGGGGCUGAAGUAGGUCCCAAGGGUAUGGCUGUUCGCCAUUUAAAGUGGUACGCGAGCUGGGUUUAGAACGUCGUGAGACAGUUCGGUCCCUAUCUGCCGUGGGCGCUGGAGAAUUGAGGGGGGCUGCUCCUAGUACGAGAGGACCGGAGUGGACGCAUCACUGGUGUUCGGGUUGUCAUGCCAAUGGCACUGCCCGGUAGCUAAAUGCGGAAGAGAUAAGUGCUGAAAGCAUCUAAGCACGAAACUUGCCCCGAGAUGAGUUCUCCCUGAGACUUUAAGUCUCCUGAAGGAACGUUAAAGACGAUGACGUUGAUAGGCCGGGUGUGUAAGCGCAGCGAUGCGUUGAGCUAACCGGUACUAAUGAACCGUGAGGCUUAACCUU
rnacentral:rRNA from 1 species